rnacentral:lncRNA from 1 species
UUGAUUUUUGAUCCGUCAAAAAACAUGGCCGCCGUUACUUAAAAUAGAACAUAGGGGUCAAUGCAGUUUUUGGCUUAUAUCUCAAAAACGAAAGCAUUUAGAGCAAAUCUGACAUUGAGUAAAAAUGUUCAUUAGGUCAAGAUCUAUCAGCCCUGAAAUUUUCAGAUGAAUCAAACAAACCAUUGUUGGGUUGCUGCCACUUAAUUGGUAAUUUUAAGGAAAUUUUGCAGUUUUUGGUCAUUAUCUUGAAUAUUAUUAUAGAUAAAGAUAAACUGUAAACAGCAAAUAUGAUCAGCAAAGUAAGAUCUACAAAUAAGUUAAUUUGACCAAAAUUGUCAAUUGACCCCUUAAGGGGUUAUUGUCCUUUAAUGACAAUUUUUCACAAUUUGUUCAUCAUAUUUGCUAACUUUAAAAAAUCUUCUCCUCUGAAACUACUGAAUGGAUUUGGUUAAAACUUAGCAUGGUUGUUCCUUAGAUUAUCCUGCACAAAGUGUGUGCUUUGAUUUUUGAUCCGUCAAAAAACAUGGCCGCCGUUACUUAAAAUAGAACAUAGGGGUCAAAUGCAGUUUUUGGCUUAUAUCUCAAAAACGAAAGCAUUAAGAGCAAAUCUGACGGAGUAAAAAUGUUCAUUAGGUCAAUAUCUAUCAGCCCUGAAAUUUUCAGAUGAAUCAAACAUCCAAUUGUUGGGUUGCUGC